rnacentral:rRNA from 1 species
GAUGAACGCUGGCGGCGUGCCUAAUACAUGCAAGUCGAGCGAACAGACGAGGAGCUUGCUCCUCUGACGUUAGCGGCGGACGGGUGAGUAACACGUGGAUAACCUACCUAUAAGACUGGGAUAACUUCGGGAAACCGGAGCUAAUACCGGAUAAUAUAUUGAACCGCAUGGUUCAAUAGUGAAAGACGGUUUUGCUGUCACUUAUAGAUGGAUCCGCGCCGCAUUAGCUAGUUGGUAAGGUAACGGCUUACCAAGGCAACGAUGCGUAGCCGACCUGAGAGGGGGAUCGGCCACACUGGAACUGAGACACGGUCCAGACUCCUACGGGAGGCAGCAGUAGGGAAUCUUACGCAAUGGGCGAAAGCCUGACGGAGCAACGCCGCGUGAGUGAUGAAGGUCUUCGGAUCGUAAAACUCUGUUAUUAGGGAAGAACAAAUGUGUAAGUAACUAUGCACGUCUUGACGGUACCUAAUCAGAAAGCCACGGCUAACUACGUG